UGUUUUUGGAGAUACCGACAACCACAUAUAUUAACAUUUUACGUGCAGAGCACGGAAAUUGGGGAAGGUAAAAAUACUAAAUUAACGUAAUGUUGGAUACAUGUAAUCUGAAAUGAACUAAGGCCAAGCAAUUAUUUUCGAGAAAAUCAGUACCGAUUACAUGAUUGUGCUACCAGAACAAAACAAUAAUAAAAUUAAAUAGUAUCCCCAAUAUAAAAUAUACUAUAAAUCAAUAUAUCAAAUGCAAUGAAGUUAAAUAAGUGUGUAUGAUGUGUGUACUAAACC
rnacentral:lncRNA from 1 species